rnacentral:lncRNA from 1 species
CCACGCCUUGUACUCUCCUUACUGCCUAAUCUUGGUCUCUCCCCCUUUCACCUAACCUCUUGUUAGGUUGAAGUGCUCGGACACACCAGAUCAGCCUCUUCUUGGAGAUACAACUUCUCUUACUGAGUCUUGGCUGCUUCUUCUUCUUCUAGAGUCGCCACCUUGUUGCUGGAACUACAUGAGGAUGCUUCAGCCACUCUCCAAUCACCUCAACACUUGAAGCCGCCUUGGACAUUGCUUCUUCAUCCUUCAUCAUACUUCCCAACAGGUUGCUUCCUCUUCUAGAAUAACCACCAAGCUCUCUUGGAUCAUGUAAGCUUCAACACUCCCCCUCAAGCUUGAGACUCUCACAGGAACAAGCUUGAAUGGAUUGCUUCAUGAUCCUCACACACACACCAUUGCCGCUUCUCUUCUGAUCUUGCCAUCUUCAUGGAAUGCUUGUGGAAGCUUCAGCUAUCUCUCCAAUCACUUCACACUAGAAGCCGCCUUGAUAGUGUUGCCUUCAUCUUCACACAGCCAAGAGUACUCUGUCUUAGUUUGAGUACUCUCUUGAAUAGACUCGCCACAGCCUAAGCCCGAUGGCUCCUUCUUCAGAUGCUUGCAAUGGACUUCUUGGAUCGCUUGGAAGCUCACUAAACUCCCCUCCUCAAGCUUGGAUUGAGUAUAGGUCCAAGCUUGCAAGUGAGCUUCAGUGACACUUCACACCAGUGGCGCAUCACCACUUCUCUCUCAACUCUCCAUUGCUCCACACAAUGGGCAAAGUCUUCCUCUUUCAACUCGGAUGGAUGGUGAACCAAGAACACCUCUUGUGAACCUGAAACAUCACUCAAACUCCAGCAAAGAUAAGACACAAGUGCAUUGGGUCAACCCUUGAUGCAUCAUCAAGUUUGAACACCAAUGUCUUUAAGCAAUGCAACAGAUUAAACUAGACAUUUUCAAGUUCUAAUCUUUGCAAGCAAACUCUCUAAGCACUAGCAUGAUCCUAACAGAUUCAAUACAAGCUACUUAGGCAAUUUUUAAAGCUUCUUUACUCAGCAUUUAGACAUGAAUCUAAUGCUUCAAUGUAAGACAGCCAUUUGACAGUAUGCACUAGCCUUAAUCAGUUUUAAUUCAUGAAUGCAACAAUACAAUCCAUCACACAUUCAUUUAUAACUUAGGCUAAGCAUUACUAUCAUCACUUAACAUCAGACAAUGCAUUACUUUCAAUCUGUUUUCAGUUCAUGAGCUUCAAACAAUAUCAUUUCACAUUUAGCAAACUCAUUACUUAACAGGAGCAAGCAUUUUACUCUUUAAACACUAAACAAGCCUUUAAAGCAUCCUGGGACAGAUUCAACUAAUUAUAUUUAGCAAUCACACAUUAUCCUCAGGUUUUUCAAUCAAUACACAUCACAAUAACCAGGCACAGUCACAAGUUCAUUUUUAAGAGAGAUAGGAUUAGCUUACAAACAAGGAACUAGCGCUAGUUCCUUGAGCCUCCUUUGCAACCGGUCAUGCUCUUUUGAUGGACUGGAGAUGUUGAAUCGUCACCCAACAGCCCCUCCUGGUGUUCAUGACCGCUACUUGAACUUUCACCUCCAAAGGUUCCUCCUUUCACCAUCUCUUUAACUCGCCAGCUUCAGUAACAAGGGAAAUCACUCUUCUUGAAGUAUCUCCUCUUGGAAAGAAGGAAAGGCACGCCUUGUAUAGACUGGAACAGGAAGGAACCGCCAUGAUAAACCUCCAUAAUAGCUUCAGACAUCUUCUUCUUGAAGAGAGAGAGCUGGCUGGACAGAUCUUCAUGGUUUGGCUUCAUGGUGAGACAGACUUGUGACUUGAAUGCGGAAGCUACAGCUCAGGUUCUGAUGAACCUGGCUCUGAUACCAUAUGAGAUUUGAGAGCUCUGGCUGUGUAUGUGUAUGAGAAGCCAUUAGAGGCAAAGAAUAAGGUCUUGAACUAGUUGAAUAAGAGGUCUGAUGAAACUAGUAUGAACUUGAAUCAGAAACAAAGAGACUUAGAGAGAUUAAGAGAUUAGAGACUAAGAAAGGGGUAGAUUAAGGGAAUCUGAUCAAGAACACACUUUUAUAUUUAUGAAGGAGAUGGGGAAAACCCCCAUACUCUCUUAAGAGAGUUACACACGCCCAUGAGGGUCUUUAUAUAGGUUUUACACUCUUGCAAACUCAUAAACCUAUAUCUAAUGGAUAGAAAUAACUUAAGAGGAAUGGAUGGUGAGGAUGAGUUGGUCUUGUUGUGAUCUGAGUGAUGUGUGCUGAUUGGAUGAGCUAAGCUGGCUCACUUUAAUUCAAACAAGGCUGUGCUGUGAUUGGCUCUCCUUAGGCUCCUUUGUAUCUGUCUACAGAUCAGUCUAGGUGCAUGGUCGUGGCUGCUCUUCCUUUACAGCAACAGCCAGCCUGUCCAUGCCCCAAAGUAACCAAUCAGCUCCACACAGCAUCUUCUUGAUUCCCUUUGACUAGAUUCAAACCUUGGUGCCUCACAUCCUGAAUAGUGAUCCAAAUAGUGAAUAGUCAACCUGAAUAGUGACUAGUGAUUCACUAUUCACUUUUACACCAACUUGCCCAAACUUCUCCAAUCUUACUGUGGUAACUCUCCAAAGUUACUGUGGUAACUUUGGAGUUACUGUCUGACCCAAAUCUUCUCUAAAUGGUGUCUAAGUCCCUCCUGGACUUAACCCUAUCUUUGCACACUCAUCAGACCACUUCUGAAGCCUUAAGACUCUCCCAAAGCCUUAACAUACAAUCUCUGAAGAUCUUGCCAUGUCUUUGCACAAGCACCAACUCAACUCAUCACUUUUGCUUCUCCACUUCUUCUCUUCAAGUUAACACUCCCCCUCAAGCUUGACUCUAGCUGAUCCUAAGUCAAGCUUGGAACCUUGAAGAACUUCCUCAUUAAAAACCUCACCAAGGAAAACCCUUUGGGACAAAACCUUGAUGAGGGAAAAAGAGUAAAGUCUCCAAGGCCUAGGGAUUGGCCAGUGAGUCUUUGUGCCUUACCAACAAUGUAAGGGACACAAAGACUCUGGAUCAUGGCCUCUACAAUCAUCCCACGCCUUGUACUCUCCUUACUGCCUAAUCUUGGUCUCUCCCCCUUUCACCUAACCUCUUGUUAGGUUGAAGUGCUCAGACACACCAGAUCAGCCUCUUCUUGGAGAUACAACUUCUCUUACUGAGUCUUGGCUGCUUCUUCUUCUUCUAGAGUCGCCACCUUGUUGCUUGAGCUACAUGAGGAUGCUUCAGCCACUCUCCAAUCACCUCAACACUUGAGGCCGCCUUGGACAUUGCUUCUUCAUCCUUCAUCAUACUUCUCAACAGGUUGCUUCCUCUUCUAGAAUAACCACCAAGCUCUCUUGGAUCAUGUAA